AUGGGGGGAAAACUGCUGGGACUGUCUGUGGACAAGAUGGCUGCCGGCCCUGCCAACAAGAUGGCUGCCCCAAGGCCAGGGCUCCAGGGGGACAAGGGAGCUGUGGGAUCAGACCUCUCCUGCCUCACAGGGCUACCUGCAAUUCCCAGCAUGAUGGAUGAUCCGGAAUGGAUCCUCAGAAAUUGAAUCCAUCAGCUGCAGGCCCCCUUCUGAAACACCAAGUGGAGGAGGACUGCAAGCUCCACACUCAGGGCACUACUCAGAACACAACAAUGCAUGCAGGUAAAUAAGGAGUUGUCAGAAUUCCCUUUCCAUUUUUAACCUCGCAAUGCAGAGCCUUUACCAGUGUGAUACUGUUGGGGGUUUCUACAAGCUGACUCAAGCUGCUGGAUUGAAGGCCACAUCUCCCCAGAUCCUUGCACCUCAGGUUGAGCAGAACCCUGGAGAGCUCCUCCUCCUCAUCUUCCUCCUCCUCCUCCCUGCAGCCUCCAGCUGCACUUCUGCACAGGGCAGGGGUGCACAGGAACUGGAGGAAGCCACAUGGAAAUCAGGACUGAGUGGUAACCAAAUAUGUCUAACCCAGGGGGAAGCUGGUGGGAGUGCAGAGCUAGUCAAAGGGAAGGGAGCAAAUAGACUGGAACAUACAGGCCCUGGAAUAUUGGCAUGUCAGGAGGGCUGUGUAUAGUAAAUAAAUAGACAUAUGCAUGUUUUAACAAUUUCCCCAGGGUAAAGUGAGUAGGAGUGUGUUCAAAGAGUAGUAUUUGCUUUAUACUAUCCUGUGAGCACAGGUUCAAUAUAUACAUUAGGAAGUACAUAUAGGGUGUAUGUUUGAUCAAGGAAUUUAGACAAUAACCUGAGUAAUUGGCAGCAUACAGCAAAUCCCAUCAGUCUGAUCCCAAUGCCAAGUUCUUUCUCAGCAUUACAAUUUUGCAAGCAAUUAAAAUGGCUACAUAGCUACAUUAUGUUAUUAGAAGCAACAUCACUUGUCAAGUAUUUUAAGUAGGAAAAGUGAUGUUAGUUAUUGUCCAUUAUUACCCAGGUAAAAACCACACCCCCGUGUUAAGCAUGCACAACAAUAUACCAUCAACCUGUUUAUCAUGAUAAAAGAGUGGUGUGUUUUGCUUUUACAUUUCUACUACAAGUCCUCUGUUAUUACU